rnacentral:rRNA from 1 species
AACGAACGCUGGCGGCAUGCCUGACCCAUGCAAGUCGAACGAAAAAUAGCAAUAUUUUUAGUGGCAAACGGGUGAGUAACGCGUGGGAAUUUGCCUUUUGGUGGGGAAUAACUGUGGGAAACUACAGCUGAUACCGCAUAAGCUCGGAAACGAGGAAAGAUUUAUCGCCAAGAGAGAAGCCUGCGUCAGAUUAGAUAGUUGGUGGGGUAAUGGCCUACCAAGUCUGUGAUCUGUAGCUGGUCUUAGAGGAUGAUCAGCCACACUGGGAUUGAGAUACGGCCCAGACUCCGACGGGAGGCAGCAGUGAGGAAUAUUGGACAAUGGGGGAAACCCUGAUCCAGCAAUGCCGCGUGGAUGAAGAAGGCCUUCGGGUUGUAAAGUCCUUUCACUCGUGAAGAUUAUAACGGUAACGAGAGAAGAAGUCCCGGCUAACUCUGUGCCAGCCGCCGCGGUAA